AACGAACGCUGGCGGCAGGCUUAACACAUGCAAGUCGAACGCAUCCUUCGGGGUGAGUGGCAGACGGGUGAGUAACGCGUGGGAACGUGCCCUUCAGUUCGGGAUAACCCAGGGAAACUUGGGCUAAUACCGGAUACGUGCGAGAGCAGAAAGAUUUAUCGCUGACGGAUCGGCCCGCGUCUGAUUAGCCAGUUGGUGGGGUAAUGGCCCACCAAGGCGACGAUCAGUAGCUGGUCUGAGAGGAUGAUCAGCCACAUUGGGACUGAGACACGGCCCAAACUCCUAAGGGAGGCAGCAGUGGGGAAUAUUGGACAAGGGGCGCAAGCCUGAUCCAGCCAUGCCGCGUGAGUGAUGAAGGCCUUAGGGUUGUAAAGCUCUUUCGUCCGGGACGAUAAUGACGGUACCGGAAGAAGAAGCCCCGGCUAACUUCGUGCCAGCCGCCGCGGUAA
rnacentral:rRNA from 1 species